rnacentral:lncRNA from 1 species
AUGGUCAUGAGUUUUCUUGUUUUUCUGUCCAAAUUGUCCAGUUCCAUCUGUGUCCAGUUUAUGAUGCCAGCAGUAUAUCUUAUGACAGCUGGCAUUAUAAACUGGACACAGAUGGAACUGGACAAUUUGGACAGAAAAACAAGAAAACUCAUGACCAUUCAUCACUCACUGCACCCUCGCAGUGAUGUUGACCGGCUAUAUCUGCCUAGAAGAUCAGGGGGCAGAGGACUCUUACAAGUAAAACAAGCAGUCAAAGAAGAAGAACAUGCCCUGGCAGAAUAUGUAAAGCAAAGUGAAGAACCUGCUUUGAUUGAAGUCAAAAAUCAGAAACUCCUCAAAGCACAGCAGACAAAAAACCAGUACAAGAAAGCCACACUACAAACUAGAGCUGACAGCUGGCACAACAAAACAUUGCAUGGAAAGUUCCUUGACAAAAUUGAAGGAAAAGCUGACAAGGAGAAGACCUGGCUCUGGCUCAUGAAUGGGACCCUGAAGAAGGAGACAGAAGGCCUGAUCCUUGCAGCCCAGGAGCAAGCCAUCAGAACAAAUGCAAUUAAGGCCAAGAUUGAAAAAUCAGCUGAUGACCCAAAAUGCAGACUGUGCAAGGAAGCUGACGAAACCAUUGAUCAUCUCCUCAGCUGCUGUAAGAAAAUUGCACAGACAGACUACAAACAGAGGCACAACUGUGUGGCCCAAAUGAUCCAUUGGAACUUAUGCAUCAAGUACCACCUGCCAGCAGCAAAGAACUGGUGGGAUCACAAACCAGGAAAGGUCAUGGAAAAUGAACACGCAAAGAUACUGUGGGACUUCCGAAUCCAGACUGACAAAGUUCUGGAACACAACACACCAGAUAUCACAGUUGUGGAAAAGAACAAGGUUUGGAUAAUUGAUGUCGCCAUCCCAGGUGACAGUCACAUUGAUGAAAAACAACAGGAAAAACUCAGCCACUAUCAGGACCUCAAGAUUGAACUUCAAAGACUCUGGCAGAAACCAGUGCAGGUGGUCCCGGUGGUGAUGGGCACAUUGGGUGCCGUGCCAAAAGAUCUCAGCCGGCAUUUGGAAACAAUAGACAUUGACAAAAUUACGAUCUGCCAACUGUAAAAGGCCACCCUGCUGGGAUCUGCACGCAUCAUCCGAAAAUACAUCACACAGUCCUAGACACUUGGGAAGUGUUCGACUUGUGGUUUUGUGAAACGAAAUCCAGCACGUCUAUCUUGUUUGCUGUGUCAUACAACAUCGUUGUGUCAAUAAUAAUAAUAAUAACUUGAGGCGGGGCACAGCAUAGGCAGGAGACUUCAUCAUAAAAUACAUCCAAUAAAAUGUGUUUCUAAAAAAUACAUGUAUUACAAUACAUGGAACAAAGAUUAAAAUACAAUAGUCAUUGAAUGUAAAUUUAAAAUUUAUGGUUGCUAUAGAGCCGCCCAUUACUAUUGCUGUAUGUGCAUACAAUUAGCAUGAAGAACACACUCUCCACUCCAUAUAUAAGCAAAUAUGACUGACUUCCUUCAUAUAUUUGAUUGAUACAGCUUGUAUUUUUCAAGCCUUUCUGUGAAUGGAGUAGAAGAACACCUGUAUUCUUUCUAAAUGGCCAAAAACACAUUGUUGCUACAGUUGAGUGCUUUAAAAGCGCCCCUGUUGGGCCAGUCAGGGUUUAAUAAAAUGCCUUUCAUUGGACCUUGUGAAGUUAGAGUUCAAAUUCUUGCUUUAACAUUGUUUUCCUUAUUGUUAUACUAAUUAUUAUUACUUCCCAAGAAUAGUAAGGAUGGUUUAAAGUUCUUACUACCAAAAGGAGGAGGAUAACUUCCUGCUGGUUACUUCAAAUAUCAAGGAAAGGUUUUUAAAAGGUAUUAUGGUAAAAUGCAACAUUGAAAAAAUGUGUAACAACACAUAAGAGGUAGUAUCCAGAAUUGGACAUCUGCAACACCAAAUGUGAAUGACAAAAUUGGUUCUAGAGGGCUGUGAACCAAGGCUUCAGCAGUAGGGAAAACUUCGGGAUGGGGACAGGAGGGGAAGAAUGUUUAAUCUUAUUGUAAAUACAGUGUUGCAUUUAUCUUAAGGUCUUUGUGCACAGAAAAUAUGUUGCUAAUGCAAGCAUAGGGCAUUUUUCAUUGAAUAAUUUACACAGAAUUAUCUUAGCUACUUUAAAAAAUGAGGCUAAGAUUAUUUCUGAAAAUAUAACGUUAACACCUCAUUUGCUGAAAUAAUCUUAGCCUCAUUUUAAAAAGUAGCUAAGGCAAUUCUGUGUAAAUUAUACAAUGAAAAAUGCCCUUAUUUCUGCAAAUAUAACGUUAACAUCUCAUUUGCUUGCUGACGAUCGUGCCAUCACCGCUCAAGCAAGGAGCUUUGAAAUGGUUGAACAGAAGCUCUCUGAAGCUUUAGAUGCUCUUACUGCAUACUACAGGGAAAACAAGUUGAUCCCUAAUCCAUCUAAAACACAAACGUGUGCUUUUCACUUUAAGAACAGACAAGCAUCUCGAGCUCUGAGUAUUACCUGGGAAGGAAUCCCACUGGAGCAUUACAGCACACCAAAAUACUUGGGAGUUACUCUGGACUGUGCUCUGACUUACAAGAAGCACUGCUUGACUAUCAAGUGGACGCUAGAAAUAACAUCAUACAAAAGCUGGCACAACCUGGGGAUCACAACCAGACACAGUGAAGACAUCUGCCCUUGCACUUUGCUACUCUGCUGCUGAAUACACAUGCUCAGUGUGGAAUACAUCUCACCACGUUAAAACAAUAGAUGUGGCUCUUAAUGAGACAUGCCACAUUAUCACAGGAUGUCUAUGCCCCACACCACUGGAGAAAUUAUACUGUUUAAUCGGCAUUGCACUACCUGACAUCUGCCAGGAAGUAGCAGCCAGCAAUGAAAGGACCAAGGCAUUGACAUAUCUGGCCCAUCCCCUGUUCAGAUAUCAUCCAGCACGCCAAUGCCUUAAAUCAAGAAAUAGUUUUCUAAGAUCUACAGAGAUACUUGCAGGAACACUUUAGCAAGCGAGAGUCCAAAAGUGGCAGGCUAAAACCCGGAAUCUCAAUCAGUGGCUGACGCGAGAUGAGAGAUUCUCUCCUGGGCACACAAAAGACUGGGUGACAUGGGAGGCACUGAACAGACUGUACAAAGUACAGAGCCAACCUAAAGAAAUGGGGCUACAAAGUGGAGUCCACGACAU